rnacentral:rRNA from 1 species
CGCAAUGGGCGAAAGCCUGACGCAGCGACGCCGCGUGCGGGAAGAAGGCCUUCGGGUUGUAAACCGCUUUCAGGAGGGACGAAGCCACUCGGGUUAAUAGCCCAGAGGGUGACGGUACCUCCAGAAGAAGCCCCGGCUAACUACGUGCCAGCAGCCGCGGUAAUACGUAGGGGGCUAGCGUUGUCCGGAUUUAUUGGGCGUAAAGAGCGUGUAGGCGGUCAGGUAGGUCGGUUGUGAAAACUGGAGGCUCAACCUUCAGAGGUCGACCGAAACCCCCUGGCUAGAGUCCGGGAGAGGAGAGUGGAAUUCCUGGUGUAGCGGUGAAAUGCGCAGAUAUCAGGAAGAACACCCGUGGCGAAAGCGGCUCUCUGGAACGGUACUGACGCUGAGACGCGAAAGCGUGGGGAGCGAACAGGAUUAGAUACCCUGGUAGUCCACGCCGUAAACGAUGGGCGCUAGGUGUGGGAGGUGUCGACUCCUUCCGUGCCGAAGCUAACGCAUUAAGCGCCCCGCCUGGGGAGUACGGCCGCAAGGCUA